CUUGCUCUGCCAAAUAAACUAUUAUUUUUGAAGCACAAAAUCGUAUUGCAGUUAUCUUUAAAAAGCUCCCUGGAAUGUGUUUGGUGAAAUGUGGUACCUACAUCUUUUCGGCUAUAAAUCGUUCUGCAAAUAAAGGAAUACGUUUCGACGUUUGUCCUGGAUUACAUUAAAACUGAAAACAAUGUAUGAUUUUGUCAUUCCUGCCGUUUGAAUCUAGGAUGGAAUGAAAAAAAAAUCGGGCAUUCAGGAAAAAAUGUUCAAGUGGAACCAAUAUAAUAUAGAGUUUCAUAACCAGUCGGAAAUUGUUAAAAAAUCAUACCUACUUGCGCAAAUCCAGUGACUGCUGACUAUGCGUCUUCCUGAUGGUCAGUAGGUGACACUUUGGAGAAACAGCGCUUUCUCUUCAGAGCCCAUAUCAGUUGGAACUAACAUGGUUAACCCCCUCAAAAAGGCACCGUACAC